GAAAUGCGAUAAGUAGUGUGAAUUGCAGAAUUCAGUGAAUCAUCGAAUCUUUGAACGCACAUUGCGCCCCUUGGUAUUCCAUGGGGCAUGCCUGCUCGAGCGUCAUUUGUACCUUCAAGCUCUGCUUGGUGUUGGGUGUUUGUCUCGCCUCUGCGCGCAGACUCGCCUCAAAACAAUUGGCAGCCGGCGUAUUGAUUUCGGAGCGCAGUACAUCUCGCGCUUUGCACUCAGAACGACGACGUCCAAAAGUACAUUUUUUACACUCUUGACCUCGGAUCAGGUAGGGAUACCCGCUGAACUUAAGC
rnacentral:misc_RNA from 1 species